rnacentral:rRNA from 1 species
UAGUACGGCGAGUGAAGAGGGAAGAGCCCAAGAUUGAAAGCUGGCGUCUUCGGCGUCCGCAUUGUAAUCUCAAGAAGUGUUUUCCGCUUCGGACCAUGCCUAAGUCCCUUGGAAAAGGGCAUCAUAGAGGGUGAUAAUCCCGUACAUGGCAUGGAGCGCCCGAAGCUUUGUGAUACGCUUUCUAAGAGUCGAGUUGUUUGGGAAUGCAGCUCAAAAUGGGUGGUAAAUGCCAUCUAAGGCUAAAUAUUGGGGAGAGACCGAUAGCGAACAAGUACAGUGAUGGAAAGAUGAAAAGAACUUUGAAAAGAGAGUUAAACAGUACGUGAAAUUGCCAAAAGGGAAGGGUAGGAGGUCAGAGAUGCGGCCUGGGAUUCAGCCUUGCUUUUGCUUGGUGUUUUUCCCAGAUUGCAGGCCAACGUCGGUUUUGGGCACUGGAGAAGGGUAGGAGGAACGUGGCACCUCUCGGGGUGUGUUAUAGCCUCCUACUGGAUACAGCGACCGAGACCGAGGACAGCAGCGUACUCGCAAGAGCGGGCCUUCGGGCACCUUUACGCUUAGGGCGUUGGCAUAAUGGCCCUCUACCACCCGUCU